rnacentral:rRNA from 1 species
UUGACGGGGCCCGCACAAGCGGUGGAGCAUUGUGGUUUAAUUCGACGCAACGCGAAGAACCUUACCAGGGCUUGACAUCCCCUGACCGCGUAUGAAAGUACGUUUUCACCCUCGGGUGACAGGGAGACAGGUGGUGCAUGGUUGUCGUCAGCUCGUGUCGUGAGAUGUUGGGUUAAGUCCCGCAACGAGCGCAACCCCUACGUUUAGUUGCUAACGCGUGAAGGCGAGCACUCUAGACGAACUGCCGUUGACAAAACGGAGGAAGGUGGGAUGACGUCAAAUCAUCAUGCCCCUUAUGUUCUGGGCUACACACGUGCUACAAUGGCCGGUACAGACGGACGCAAAGCCGCGAGGUGGAGCAAAUCCUAAAAAGCCGGUCUCAGUUCGGAUUGCAGGCUGCAAUUCGCCUGCAUGAAGUCGGAAUCGCUAGUAAUCGCAGGUCAGCAUACUGCGGUGAAUACGUUCCCGGGCCUU